rnacentral:rRNA from 1 species
UAGGGAAUCUUCGGCAAUGGGGGGAACCCUGACCGAGCAACGCCGCGUGAGUGAAGAAGGUUUUCGGAUCGUAAAGCUCUGUUGUUAAGGAAGAACGAGUGUGAGAAUGGAAAGUUCAUGCUGUGACGGUACUUAACCAGAAAGGGACGGCUAACUACGUGCCAGCAGCCGCGGUAAUACGUAGGUCCCGAGCGUUGUCCGGAUUUAUUGGGCGUAAAGCGAGCGCAGGCGGUUAGAAAAGUCUGAAGUGAAAGGCAGUGGCUCAACCAUUGUAGGCUUUGGAAACUGUUUAACUUGAGUGCAGAAGGGGAGAGUGGAAUUCCAUGUGUAGCGGUGAAAUGCGUAGAUAUCAUGAAGAACACCGGUGGCGAAGGCGGCCUGCUGGACUGUAACUGACGCUGAGGCUCGAAAGCGUGGGGAGCGAACAGG